CACGUACUCAUACCCAGAAGAAAAUCUAGAAGAAAUGUGGCAAAAUAUUAACAAGUACUAUCCUAUAAAAUUGCAGGAUUAUGGGUUUUUUCGCACUUUCUUCUUUAUACUUUGUAUCAUUUUCUAGGCUUUCUACAGUUGAUGUGCACAACCUGUAAAAUUAGGCCUAAACAGGCAUUAUGUCCUUGUUUUUAUGGAAAAUGUUUAUGUUUGUUUGUGUGUUUGUUUUUAACAAGAUAGCUUCUAAUGGAUAUCUAUGGGCAGGGAAAGAUGAAACCAUCUGAAAAAAGAGAAAAUUAAGACUGCCCAGUCUGAUAAAAGAUAUGGACAUCACUUUUCCUAACACAGAUUAAACAUCUGUCACAGAGAAAAGAUAUAACAGUAACGGGGGCACUUCCACUAUAAAGACAUCUGCUAGAAAUCUCAUUACACUAAAAAUCUGAGCAUCAGACAGUCUUGACUUGUCUUGCUGACAAUUUCAUCUCUCAGAAGGUGGAGGCAACAAGUGUGCCCACCACUCAACUGACCAGGAAGAAAUAAGUGGUUGGCACCGGGCAGUGCGAAGAAAGGUAGCCAUGGACUUUGCAGUCACGUGGAUUCAUACCUGCCUGAAAACACACCUAAGAUGCAUGAAUUGGUGUCUAUGGAGAUUUUGAAGUGAAAAAAAAUUAUUACACCUGAAUAUUACACACACUCCUAUACACCUCAUUUUAAUUAGGAUAUUAACAGUCAAGAAUGCAUUCAGAAAAGAAUGACUUGAAUGAUAGGAAGUCUGAGGUUUAUGUCAAAAGUGACAGAGCUGAGGGAAGCCUGGGCUCCUGCAAUUCUGCCCACAUCUAGGAAGUCAAGAGACUGAAGCCAGUGGUCACACAAAUAAAGCUGAGUUUCAGCCUAGGUGGUCCAGACCAUGUCCUGGCAGCUCGAGGGUGCCUGGGGCGCCAAUGAGUUCAAGAGAAGCAGGCAGACAGUGACCAAGUACAGACCAAAACCACCUCCAACACUGACCAAGAGAAUCUCAUUACCCUUGCAGGCAGUCUCCAUUUCACAAAGGACAAGUGGCCACAACUGUGCUUUUCUGUGUCAUGCAAGGGCACAGGAAUUUCCCUUAUAUCUGUCAACCAAAGUUGGCAGUUGGAGGAGAAUUCUCUCAAUGGAUUAAAUAAUCCUAGUUGCCACAGUUUCUCAUUAUUGCAUCCAUGAGUCCUGCUUUACCUUCAAACACAGUUUGGCCUUCAUUGGCCCUCUUAAUUACAUAUUUGAAGUAAGACAGGCGACACUGAAGUUGGGACUCACUUAGCUAAUGAGAUUGGACUAAAUCAUGGCCCAGGAUGCAGUAGUAAACCAGGGCUGUCGCUGUGGGCACUGGAAAGAGCGAUGAUCCCUCAGUAAGAAACUGGAACUAUACCUUUGAAAAUUUAUGUCAGGGGGCGCCUGGGUGGCUCAGGUGGUUGGGCGUCCAACUUCGGCUCAGGUCACGAUCUCAAGGCCUGUGAGUUCGAGCCCCGCGUCAGGCUCUGUGCUGACGGCUCAGAGCCUGGAGCCUGCUUCGGAUUCUGUGUCUCCCUCUCUCUCCGAC